UACGUAGGGUGCGAGCGUUAAUCGGAAUUACUGGGCGUAAAGCGUGCGUAGGCGGUUCGCAAAGUCUGAUGUGAAAGCCCCGGGCUCAACCUGGGAACUGCAUUGGAAACUAACGGGCUCGAGUGUGGCAGAGGGGGGUGGAAUUCCACGUGUAGCAGUGAAAUGCGUAGAGAUGUGGAGGAACACCGAUGGCGAAGGCAGCCCCCUGGGCUGAGAUUGACGCUCAGGCACGAAAGCGUGGGGAGCAAACAGG
rnacentral:rRNA from 1 species